rnacentral:lncRNA from 1 species
CUCUGAAGGACCUGCCUGAGACCGGUCUACUGUCUACUGUUAACUUUUUUCCUUUUUUUUUUUUUGAGAUGAAAUCUUGCUCUGUCACCCAGAGUGGAGUGCAGUGACGCCAUCUUGGUUCACUGCAACGUCCACCUUCUGGGUUCAAGUGAUUCUCGUGCCUCAACUUCCUGGAAGCACUUAGCUAUUUUUAUGGUUUGGAUCAAAAUUAUAAGCUGUAUACAGACUUGACUAUUGUGAGACAAAGUAACCAAUAUAAGAAGCCACGUUUGCUCAUUUCUGCUUGAACCCCCAACUCUGAUGAAAUGCAGCUCUCUGGAAGAAUGCCUUGAAGACAAAACAGAAUAGAGCACACAGCCUCCCCAUGUCUCUUGGCAGGGUCUUCCUCUGUCUCCCAGGCUGAAGUACAGUAGUGUGAUCAUAGCUCACUGCAGCCUCCACCUCCUGGGCUCAAGUGAUCCUUCUGCCUCAGCCUCCCAAGUAGCUAGCAUUACAGGCAUGUGCCACCAUGCCUGGCUAAUGUUUCUUAAAAAAUUUCUGUACAUAGAGGGUCUCGCCAUGUUGCACAGGCUGGUCUCAAACUCCUGGUCUCAAGCAAUCCUCUUGCCUUGACCUCCCAAAGCAGUGGGAUUACAGGCAUGAGCCACCACACUCACCCCCACGUUUUUUUUCUUGGAGACAGGGACUCACUUUGUCACCCAGGCUGGAGUGCAGUGGUGUGAUCACGGCUCCCUAGAUCCUUGAUCUCCUGGGCUCAAGCAAUUCUCCUGCCUCAGCCUCCCGAGUAGCUGGGACUACAGGCAUGCACUACCACGCAUGGCUGGUUUUCAAAAAAAAUUUUGUAGAGAUAGAGUCUUGCUAUGUUGCCCAGGCUGGUCUUGAACAUCGGGCCUCAAGCAAACUUCCUGCCUUGGCCUCCCAAAGUGUUGGGAUUACUGGUGUGAGCCACUGCAUCCAGCCCACUUAUUCUUUCGUUCCACAGAUUCUGGUGGACUCCCUCCUAUGUGACUUGCCCUGAGCACUGGGGUACAGUGAAGAAUGAAGUAUAAAUUAGAUUAUGGUGUAGGGGAAAUUCCAACCAAAUAGGAAAGGAAGCUAUGAAGAGAGCCCACUUUCCUAAGCCCCAGUGGACUGUGGGGAGGGCGAGAAGAGUUUAGACAGCUGGGUGGUUAGGUGCCAGGAGCCUUUUUUUCACUCCUCUCAGGCCUGAGAUCUCUUGGGAGAUCAUCAAGUUCUCUUGGGAGAAGUUUUAGACAGUCGGGCAUGGUGUAGGGGAGGCUGCAGGUCCCUAUGAACACUCAUAUCACAGUGAUCCCAAAGUGAAUUCCCCAUAAUCCCAGGAAGUGCCCAGCGUAGGACUCCACAGACACAUUUGUUUGGCGAACACUCCAUACUGCACAGUCCUCUAAGACAAUGCUUGAUGUGCAUGCGGAUCACCUAUUUUGAGCAACGAGGCUUCUGAGAUUCUUUCUGCCUCUUGGUGUAUUGAAGGCACUAAGACAUCUUUUCAUGAACCCAAUUUUAUUUGUCUAACAUGGUCAUUUACAAAGUGACUACAGCACAACUAUGGGAGCCUUUGGAAGCAUUUCAGGAAACUUUGCACUAUUAGCCUCAUGGUAUUUUGCUGCAUUAUCAAGCAAGAAUUCUGUUUAUUGUGUGUGAGUGUGUGUGCAUUGGAGUGUGUACGUGUGCCACAGAACUCUAGGUGGCAGAGUGUAUUUUGCAAAAAUAAUUGACCACACUGUUUCCCAUGUUAUCUAAGAACCUCAUUGACUCCUCCUCAAGAGGUGGCAUGUAUAUUUCUUC